rnacentral:rRNA from 1 species
UACGUAGGGUGCGAGCGUUAAUCGGAAUUACUGGGCGUAAAGCGUGCGCAGGCGGUUCGUUGUGUCGGUGGUGAAAGCCCCGGGCUUAACCUGGGAAUGGCCAUGGAAACUGGCGAACUGGAGUGUGGCAGAGGGGGGUGGAAUUCCGCGUGUAGCAGUGAAAUGCGUAGAUAUCGGGAGGAACACCGGUGGCGAAGGCGGCGACCUGGGUAGAUACUGACGCUGAGGUGCGAAAGCGUGGGGAGCAAACAGG